GUUUCCGCGUUAAGGCGUUACAGGCUGUGAUCUAGGAAUAGGAUUCAUAGGAUCUGUGUGGUAACCGGUGGAAACUAACAGCUCAGAUGGUGAGACUACCAAAAAAAAUCCAUCCCAUCACUGUAUUGUUGCAAAGUUUCAGUGGUUUAAAUCAUAAAUCCAUAAAUCAUUCAGUGAUUUCACGCACAAGUUUGCUUUUGUUUCUUGAUCUGCGUUGCAAUAGCUUUUUCGUAACCUAUUUCCAAAUCAGUCGAUUCAAAGAAAAAUUUGAACAGCCCAUGUGCCCAGAUCACAUUGGUUCAGGAAGUCAUGGAUUGUUUCACCUGCAUUGGAUUUUAAAAUCUCCUCUAAAAAUAAUUAGUGCUAGAGCAAGAUUUUGUUAUGUGUUGUUUUGAUCAGGCCAAAAUCAUCCCACCACUUACUGCAAUGCAACAGCAGCGAGUCUUAGCUUUUCAUGCACAGUGUGACUGUUGGCGAUGAUGUUGAUCAAGUACUCAAUAAACUGAACUUAAAAGUUUAGUGACAGCAACACCCAUCUAUGUGAACUGCCAGAUGCAAUGUUUGCCUAAAGUGAGAAGAAUUCAAAUCUGCAGUCUACAUGGGGAUUGGCGUGGACUACAUUUCCACAAUCCACAUCAGGCAACAAAUAUCUGUUGCAAAGAAAUGCCAGUGAGAAUAAUGUCAGCGUUGGUGCUUGGUGUAAAAAGUGCGAAAUGGCCGAAAGGCAACCCAGUUUUUGCUUGGGUUUUUUUAACGGAGAAGAUAGUUAAGAUUGAUAUAACUUUCAGUCCUUUCAUUCAACAUCUGCUACAGCCAAUCUCUUUCAACAUGAACAUCAAGAUUAUUGAGUAACAACAAUUUCUAUCUUGAACUGAACAAAGAAUUUGCUAGAGAGGAAUUUCAAACCAUAGUCAAAGUUGAAAAAGAAGAAGUAGACUGCUCAACGCAAUAGAAAAAAGAAUGACAAAAUGGAAGGUGUGAUCGCCAUCAUAUUUGAGAAAAUGGUAUUUUCCUGGUGACUAACUGAACAGUUCCUCAAGUUGCGAGUCUUGCGCUAGAUGUUUGAUGUCGCUGCCACGCUUCGUCGAACUGGAUUGUUAGGAUCGUCCAAUUCUUUUAAUCUACCACGAAUUACUCAGUAUGACUUACGUCGACGAUCAGUUAAAUUUUCGUUGGGAAGACGAUAAACAAUACGCUUUAUCUUACCUGGUCAUUUUGUCCAUUGAAAACCACUGUUCACUCUGCAUAUGGAAAUCGUCGAUAUUUUAAGAUGUGUUUGGCGCCAUCGUUCUAAUAAUUGUUAUAAUAAUUCCACAAGUUGGAAGGUUCCUACGCAACGGUCGAAAUUCUUGUGAAAUGUCCUCUUCCUACGAGACCAAAACCGAAAAUCUAAUUACUCUACUAGAGUCCCACUUCUUUCUUUCGUAUCCUCAGUCAUCAGAUUUGAGAUGUGGACAGUGGACCCUAUUUGAAGAACCGUGAAGAACAAAUUGCUCAACACUUCCUGUCACUCACAUCCUCAGCUUCAUCUGUGUCAUCCUCCCACAUCUUUGACAAAAAUUCCAACUUUUUUGCCCAAAAGUUGUGGCUCAGGCCUAUUGACCCAUGAGGUCAGGGGCCAGAUCUCUACUGCUCUAUGAGAAAUCAUAACAAACGUGUUGUGUUGGGUUUUACCAGAGCUCCUAGUCAAUCCGGUUGAACAAAUUUCGUUUCAGCCAGGAACUUUUUUUUUUUUUUCCCAUGAAAUUGAUGAUUUGGAACUCGAUGAAAGUGCUGCCGAGUUUUGACCUUGGAUCGUUCUUUCGGCUGAAGAAGACCUCGGUUUUCUCGGACGGCCCGGCACAAUAGCUCGCAUAUCUCGUCCAGAUUCAGAAGCAACUCGCCUAUUCACCCCCGCCAUUUGGUGAUCCAGCUAGGAAACCUUCAGUCCUUCACUCAGCCGAAUUUUUCAAUGUCGCACCAAUGGAGAUCGUGUGCACCAUUCGACAUCGGAAUCCACUGCUCCCAAGUCAAUCUACUGGACAGUGUUCUG
rnacentral:lncRNA from 1 species